CUGGCUAUCCGUUAGUAUCUGUUUAUAUUAGCUAAUAAUACCAUAUUUGAUAAAAAAAUAUUGAUGUAUCAGUCAUGUUCCUGUGUUGCUUUAUAGGGUGAUAAAGGUGAACCUGGACUACAGGGGAAACCAGGAUCACCAGGAGCCAAGGGAGAUCUAGGAGGACCUGGUGCCCCAGGUGAACCAGGCUACCCAGGCAUUCCUGGUACCCAGGGUAUAAAGGUAAGCAGUUUUUUUCUGGUCUUAUAUUGCUUCCAUCUUCUAUUGGAAGUGCUUCUUCUAUAAGUGGUCAUAAUCAAUGAAAAUGAUUUUCCUUUUUUUUUUUUUUAAUAUGUAAUUAUUAUUAGAGACUAUUUAGUAUAUAUUGGAAGGUCCAUUUGCUAGAAAAACCAUCAGCAUUUUUUAGGGAGGAGAGAAUGACCAAAAGGGAGAAACUGUUAACAUAAAGUGUUGUGAUAUAGGUGUAUUAAUGAAAUUUUCAUUAUGAAUUAUAAUACAUAAUAGUAUGAUCUGUGAUUCCAUAUUUACUUCAUAAUAUAUUGUCUUACAUCAUUAUAUCUGCAAAUUCUAUUGUGCAAAGUCUUCUGUGGAUCUCUCCUAAGAACUGGAGCAAUUAAUCCCAGGCAGCUGGGACAGAUUCAGCUCAAUUACACUUAGCCCUUAAGAGCUAUUUGAUCUAGCCAACUUGUCCAGGUUUUCUCCAUGUUUAACUGAGAGAGUCUAAACUCCCUGGGGAGUCAUUCAUUCACAUCUUUGCUUAGGAAUGGGUAAAUCUGGAAGUACUUGUCUAUUACCAUUGACUAUAUCUGAAGCCUGGAUAAGGCUUUAGCUUAGCUAAAUUUUUGAUGGCAAAGGUUAGGUGAAUCCUACUUCUGCUGUCCUGGCUGAAAAUUAUUUCUUCUUUUCAGGCAGGAAUCUGUAUUUUUUCAUCUUACAUACUGAGUUCUCAGGUAGAUCAUGCCUUCAGGAUCUCACCAUUGCUUGGCGCAACCUUCCAUCAAUCAAACACUGUUAUAGACAUGGUUAUUGCUGAUAUUCUUCAUUGCUAAAGAACUGCUUUGUGAACACAUCAUAAAAUUUAGUUAUUUAUGUUUGAAUUUCUGAAUAUUAACCUUUAUUUUUAAAGUGUAGCUGUAUAGGAUUUUCUGACAAACAUAUUAAGGAGUCUUUAAGGAGUCCCC
rnacentral:lncRNA from 1 species